AGAUAAUUAGUUAAAAUAACAUUAAUAUGUCAUAUUAAAAUUAUUGAAUUAAUCAAUAUUAUCUA
rnacentral:tRNA from 1 species